UGAAAAAGGAAAAGAGAUGGGGCAGC
rnacentral:piRNA from 1 species